rnacentral:rRNA from 1 species
GGGUCAGUAGGUUGGUCGUGCCACCGGUACGUACUGGUCUCACUGAUUCCUCCUUCCUGAAGAACCGUAAUGCCAUUAAUUUGGUGUUGCGGGGAAACAGGACUUUUACUUUGAAAAUAUUAGAGUGUUUAAAGCAAGCUAACGCUUGAAUACAUUAGCAUGGAAUAAUGAAAUAGGACGAUCGAUCCUAUUUUGUUGGUUUCUAGGAUUGACGUA